UGAUCCUCUGCCAAAGCCUGGACCUUUCU
rnacentral:piRNA from 1 species